CAACCCCCUCUUUAAAUUGCUUUCCCUAUCCUCCCUCUCAUCUCUUUAGUUAUGUUGGUGUAUUGCUUUUUCGAUGCCUUUGGUUGUCGAUUUGAGAAAUCACCCUAUAUUUUUUGUGCUUUAUUUGAAGUCUUCGUGGCAGUCCUCGCCAUCACCCUUUUAUCAUUGUUUUUUUGUGUCUUGGCAAAGCCAAUCCUUAUCCUAAAACCCUUCAACCUCAAACAUCUGUCAUCUUUCAACUUGUUCAUCUGCCUCUUCUUCCUACCCACCGUCCUUCCUACAACCUCUUCUCAAGCCAAGAGCGACACACCUGGUUUAGUCUACAGAUCUAAGCCCUCUAAUCAUGGCACUACACUCGACCUGCAUGCCGGAAAAUCAGGGCCAAGCAUGUUGCGGCUUUGCCUAAAGUGAAGGUGUUUUAGAUGCCCCCUUAGCCCUACCCCCUUGAUUUUUGUUUUGGUUUUUGGUUUUACUUGUAGGUGCUCGUGUUUGUGGUUCAAAUCCGUUGGCUCUUUUUCGAUGUUACAGCUUUGGUGAGUUGGUUUUCUUCCGGUGACUACUUUUGUGGUUGCUGCCGAGGUGAUGGCGGCAGUGGAGGUCGAGCUGUGUGAGUUGAAGAUUAGGUUGUUCUUUUUUUUUUUGGGUAAAUUUCAUUUUGUACCCUCAAGUAUGAGUGCAAUUACAACCUCAUACAUCAUCUUUAAAACAUUACAAUUUCAUACACCAAAUAUGAUUUAGUUGCAA